AAAUGUACGCUCCCUCAUGAAUUAUGUUGGUUAUUGAGGAGGCCGAAUGAGUCACUCAACAUUGUACUGUGUGUGAGUGUGCUCGUGCAUGUGUAUGAAUUUGUGUGCAUGCGUGCGUUAGACACAUGUAUAUAGUGAAAUAAUCAUCCUAUUAGACUAAUGCAUGGGUGUGGGACCAACCCAACAAAUAGCUAGGCCUACCACCAUGCUAAGGCAAAUCCCAACAACCUUAUGGGUUGGUAGUGGAAAGUUUUGAGUGCAAGCCUGCAACCUGGCGAUGCCAGUUUCUCUCCUUGGGGGGCCACAUAGCCCUAAUCACAGCCGCCUUUUCCAACAUCCCACUCUUUCAAAUGUCCGUCAUGUGAUCAGGUUCAUAUAAACUGGCUGCUACCACACUUUCGUGGGACUGGAAUCUGUUAAUAAGUGAUCGUCAUUCAUAUUCUGGUUUAUGCUUGUAGGAGACUUUGACAUAGUUGAAACUCCAUUGCUCCUUAUCAAAAUGCUGUCACAAGUUUGUUAUUAUGCUCUCUCUCUGCGCUAGGGAUUUUAAACUCUCUCUCUCUCUUUCUACACUAGAUAUUUUAAUGUUUCCCCAAUCAUAAUUUUUUUGGAAACUAUGAGCUCCAGGGAUUUUAAUGUUUAUCCAAUUAUAUGUUUUUUGGAACAUCUGGUUAGGUGGGAAAUCUACGGAGAAGCAUGGUCACAAGCACCAUAAUGCAGUCUUCAUUCAGUGAGUUCUUUCUCGUAGCAUCAUUGGCUGCUCGAAUUGCUGCCUUUGUCCACAGUGUAAGAAGAAAUGUAUGCUCAAAGAUAUUAGAAAGCUUUAUGCACCACAUAUUGCUGUGGCUAGUGGAGAGUUACCACAGGAAGUGAUCUCUCUUCGAGAUGAAAAUGCAUUCCUUAAGUUGCAGGUAUUGUAUGAUUUGAAAAAAUUUAUGUAGCUAUAUUUUGAUUUUGGCGCGUGCAGUAAGUUGUUAAUUAAUGUGUCACUUUGUUGUUGUUGUAAUAGUUAACUCAAUGACCUAUGUAACUGUUAAUUAAAGAGAAUGCAAUUCUGUCUAUUGAUGA